GAACGCAUAUUGCGCUCUUUGGUAUUCCGAAGAGCAUGCUUGUUUGAGUAUCAGUAAACACCUCAAAGCUUUUGAUUUUUUUUUAAAAGUUUUGGACUUGAGCAAUCCCAACACCAAUCUUUUUCAGAUCGGCGGCGGGUUGCUUGAAAUGCAGGUGCAGCUGGACAUUCUCCUGAGCUAAAAGCAUAUUUAUUUAGUCCCGUCAAACGGAUUAUUACUUUUGCUGCAGCUAAUAUAAAGGGAGUUUGACCGUAUUGGCUGACUGAUGCAGGAUUUCACAAGGGUCGGCAACGAUUCUUGUAAAACUCGAUCUCAAAUCAAGUAAGACUACCCGCUGAACUUA
rnacentral:misc_RNA from 1 species